rnacentral:lncRNA from 1 species
CGCAGCCUGAGCGCGGGGAGGGCCGCCCCCGCAGGGCUCCGCUUACCGAUGCGCCGCACGUAGUGUUUUGCAGGAAGUUUCCACGCUCCCCAGUUUAAUCCGCGCGAGGGGGGUUGGUUGGAGGGGAGCUCGGCUGAUCGGCGAUGGAAGGGGGCGGGCGGCGAGGAGGCGGCGGCGGCAGCGACCGCGUUUAAUUUUUUAACGAGGGCGGCUCGACAGUUCCCGGCGGGGUCGCAGCGCCGGGCGGCGAGGGGAAGCGCGGCCGAGCCGCCCCCGCCGCCCGGGACCCCGCGCAGCCCCAGGGGCCGGAGCCGAGCCAGCCGUCGGGGCUCCCACCUGGGCUUCGGCCAGCCGUGCCCGGAGCUCCGCCGUCCGCCACCAUGGGCAACGCGGAGGAGACGGGCAAAGAAGGAACAGAGGUGAAAAUCCCACAGAGUCACCAAGAUGUGAUGUCCAAUGAUGAGCAGUAAUUACUGCGGCAACACUUCAGCCAGCAUGAGCGUCAAUGAAAUGUCUGCCUUCCCUCUGACUUUGGAGCAAAAAACUGGUUUCGCCUUUGUGGGGAUUUUGUGUGUUUUCUUAGGACUUCUAAUUAUCAGAUGCUUCAAAAUCUUGCUAGACCCCUACAGUAGUAUGCCUUCUUCUACAUGGGAAGACGAAGUUGAGGGGUUGGAUAAAGGGACAUUUGAAUAUGCUCUUGCAUGAAAAGUCAUAUGAUAUCCUGCCUUAAAUUUGAUGUUGAUUUCAUUUUGGAAACCAACUGUAACAUUUGUUACACAUGCAUACAUACAUUUUGGAGAUGUGUUGGUAUCUGUGGUGUUCAUUUUGUUAAAUAAAUGUUUGUUGCAAACUCA